AGAUUGAACGCUGGCGGCAUGCCUAACACAUGCAAGUCGAACGGCAGCGCGGGUAGCAAUACCUGGCGGCGAGUGGCGGACGGGUGAGGAAUACAUAGGAAUCUACCCUGUCGUGGGGGAUAACGUAGGGAAACUUACGCUAAUACCGCAUACGACCGAGAGGUGAAAGCGGCGGACCGCAAGGCGUCGCGCGACUGGAUGAGCCUAUGUCCGAUUAGCUAGUUGGCGGGGUAAUGGCCCACCAAGGCGACGAUCGGUAGCUGGUCUGAGAGGAUGAUCAGCCACACUGGAACUGAGACACGGUCCAGACUCCUACGGGAGCAGCAGUGGGAAUAUGGACAAGUGGGCGCAAGCCUGAUCCAGCAAUGCCGCGGUGGGUAGAAGAAGGCCGUUACGGUUAGUAAACGUCCCUUUUAGGUAACGGAAGUAAACUCCUUGGUACGGUUAAACGUACCCGGCGGG
rnacentral:rRNA from 1 species